rnacentral:rRNA from 1 species
AUGGCAAUGGGCACGUUCCCCUUCCAGUGGCCCAUGGAACCCCCGCCCGCGCCGCCCUCCGGCCUCGGCGGCAGCCUGUUGCCCUCUCUGCUCCCGCCUCCGCCCGCGCCGGUGCCCGACGACGGCGCGGCGUACUACGCGGCGGCGGACAUGCAGGCCUCCUCUAUGCCCGAGCUGGCACCGCCAUUCCCGUCACGGGACGCGGUCGCCGCCGAGCUGGCCAUGCGGCGCGCGGCGGAGGAGGUCGCCGGCAUCCGCUUGGUCCACCUCCUCAUGAGCUGCGCGGGCGCCGUCGAGGCAGGCGACCACGUGCUCGCGGCCGCGCACCUGGCCGACGCCAACGCCUCGCUCGCGGCCGUCUCCAUCGCCUCCGGCAUCGGCCGCGUCGCCGUUCACUUCACAGACGCGCUCUCCAGGCGGCUGUUCCGGUCGCCUGCCACUCCCCCGGCCACCGAUGCCGAGCACGCCUUCCUCUACCACCACUUCUACGAGGCGUGCCCCUACCUCAAGUUCGCGCAUUUCACGGCCAACCAGGCUAUCUUGGAGGCCUUCCAUGGCUGCGACAGCGUUCACGUCAUCGACUUCAGCCUGAUGCAGGGCCUCCAGUGGCCCGCUUUGAUUCAGGCCCUCGCUCUCCGCCCCGGCGGCCCGCCGUUCCUCCGGAUCACCGGCAUUGGCCCGCCCUCCCCACCAGGCCGCGACGAGCUCCGGGAUGUCGGUCUCCGCCUCGCCGACCUCGCACGCUCCGUCCGCGUCCGAUUCUCCUUCCGCGGGGUCGCCGCCAACAGCCUCGACGAGGUCCACCCGUGGAUGCUCCAGAUCGCGCCCGGCGAGGCCGUGGCGGUCAACUCCGUGCUCCAGCUCCACCGCCUCCUCGCCGACUCAGCCGAUCAGGCGCCCAUCGAUGCCGUUCUUGACUGUGUCGCCUCGUUGCAGCCCAAGAUCUUCACGGUCGUGGAGCAAGAGGCGGACCACAACAAACCGGGGUUCCUCGACAGGUUCACCGAGGCGCUCUUCUACUACUCGGCAGUGUUCGAUUCUCUUGACGCGGCGAGCGCAAACGGCACGGGCAACGCGAUGGCCGAGGCGUAUCUCCAGCGGGAGAUCUGCGACAUCGUGUGCAACGAGGGCACCGCCCGCAUGGAGCGACACGAGCCGCUGUCGCAGUGGAGGGACAGGCUGGGGCGCGCGGGGCUGAGCGCCGUGCCGCUGGGGGCGAGCGCGCUCCGGCAAGCCAGGAUGCUGCUCGGGCUGUUCUCCGGCGAGGGACACUCCGUGGAGGAGGCCGAGGGGUGCCUGACGCUCGGGUGGCACGGGCGGCCGCUGUUCUCGGCGUCGGCGUGGCGGGCGGCCGCCGUCGGCUGCGACGCCGACGGCGAAGAUAACCACACCAGUAACAACAGCAAUUUUAGCGGCAGUAGUGGCGGUGGUAGUGACAGUAAUAACAGCAGCAGCAGCAACGGUCUUAUGGCACUUGGCACGACAACUUCUCAACUGUCUACUACAAAAGUUUUGCCUGGCUCCGACGAGGGAAGGGCAAUGACGGUGGUGCGCAUUUGGCUCGCUUCAGUGCUUCUAGUCAUCGUUAGGUGGACUAUGGGGAUUUGGAUGUAA